AUGAUUCCUGGAUGGCUCCGGUUUGAGAAUGACAUUGAUGUUGGGGAAGUGGUUGUUCUCAUGACGACCAAGGGGGAGGUGAUUGCCAUUGGUAUCGCUGAGAUCCCAACUGCUGUUAUGGCGACUGAUGACCAUGGCGCGGCAGCGAAGAUCAAGAGGGUGGUCAUGGACAGAGGCACAUACCAGGAAAUGGGAACUUGGUCCGGUGGCAGCGUCCGAAAGAUGAUGAACGAGGGCUCCUUGAUAAGCAUGGGAAACCAACUGAGAAGACCCCAGCUGAGUGAAUAUUCAAUCCCGAGCCUAAGGCUCAUCUGCACCCGGUGA
rnacentral:rRNA from 1 species